AUUGAACGCUGGCGGCAUGCCUUACACAUGCAAGUCGAACGGUAACAGGUCUUCGGAUGCUGACGAGUGGCGAACGGGUGAGUAAUACAUCGGAACGUGCCCGAUCGUGGGGGAUAACGAAGCGAAAGCUUUGCUAAUACCGCAUACGAUCUACGGAUGAAAGCAGGGGACCGCAAGGCCUUGCGCGAACGGAGCGGCCGAUGGCAGAUUAGGUAGUUGGUGGGAUAAAAGCUUACCAAGCCGACGAUCUGUAGCUGGUCUGAGAGGACGACCAGCCACACUGGGACUGCGGCACGGCCCAGACUCCUACGGGAGGCAGCAGUGGGGAAUUUUGGACAAUGGGCGAAAGCCUGAUCCAGCCAUGCCGCGUGCAGGAUGAAGGCCUUCGGGUUGUAAACUGCUUUUGUACGGAACGAAAAGACUCUGGUUAAUACCUGGUGUCCAUGACGGUACCGUAAGAAUAAGCACCGGCUAACUACGUGCCAGCCGCCGCCGUAA
rnacentral:rRNA from 1 species